GUCGAGCGAACUGAUUAGAAGCUUGCUUCUAUGACGUUAGCGGCGGACGGGUGAGUAACACGUGGGCAACCUGCCUGUAAGACUGGGAUAACUUCGGGAAACCGAAGCUAAUACCGGAUAGGAUCUUCUCCUUCAUGGGAGAUGAUUGAAAGAUGGUUUCGGCUAUCACUUACAGAUGGGCCCGCGGUGCAUUAGCUAGUUGGUGAGGUAACGGCUCACCAAGGCAACGAUGCAUAGCCGACCUGAGAGGGUGAUCGGCCACACUGGGACUGAGACACGGCCCAGACUCCUACGGGAGGCAGCAGUAGGGAAUCUUCCGCAAUGGACGAAAGUCUGACGGAGCAACGCCGCGUGAGUGAUGAAGGCUUUCGGGUCGUAAAACUCUGUUGUUAGGGAAGAACAAGUACAAGAGUAACUGCUUGUACCUUGACGGUACCUAACCAGAAAGCCACGGCUAACUACGUGCCAGCAGCCGCGGUAAUACGUAGGUGGCAAGCGUUAUCCGGAAUUAUUGGGCGUAAAGCGCGCGCAGGCGGUUUCUUAAGUCUGAUGUGAAAGCCCACGGCUCAACCGUGGAGGGUCAUUGGAAACUGGGGAACUUGAGUGCAGAAGAGAAAAGCGGAAUUCCACGUGUAGCGGUGAAAUGCGUAGAGAUGUGGAGGAACACCAGUGGCGAAGGCGGCUUUUUGGUCUGUAACUGACGCUGA
rnacentral:rRNA from 2 species